UACGUAGGGUGCAAGCGUUAAUCGGAAUUACUGGGCGUAAAGCGUGCGCAGGCGGUUUUGUAAGUCUGUCGUGAAAUCCCCGGGCUCAACCUGGGAAUUGCGAUGGAGACUGCAAGGCUAGAAUCUGGCAGAGGGGGGUAGAAUUCCACGUGUAGCAGUGAAAUGCGUAGAGAUGUGGAGGGACACCGAUGGCGAAGGCAGCCCCCUGGGUCAAGAUUGACGCUCAUGCACGAAAGCGUGGGGAGCAAACAGG
rnacentral:rRNA from 1 species